rnacentral:rRNA from 1 species
AUUGAACGCUGGCGGCAGGCCUAACACAUGCAAGUCGAGCGAGAAAACUCCUUCGGGAGUGAGUAGAGCGGCGGACGGGUGAGUAACGCGUAGGAAUCUACCCAGUGGUGGGGGACAACAUGUGGAAACGCAUGCUAAUACCGCAUACGCCCUUCGGGGGAAAGCGGGGGACCUUCGGGCCUCGCGCCAUUGGAUGAGCCUGCGUAAGAUUAGCUAGUUGGUGGGGUAAAGGCCUACCAAGGCGACGAUCUUUAGCUGGUCUGAGAGGAUGAUCAGCCACACUGGGACUGAGACACGGCCCAGACUCCUACGGGAGGCAGCAGUGGGGAAUAUUGGACAAUGGGGGCAACCCUGAUCCAGCCAUGCCGCGUGUGUGAAGAAGGCCUUAGGGUUGUAAAGCACUUUCAAUUGGGAAGAAAAGCUUGUCCUUAAUACGGGCAAGCCCUGACAUUACCUUUAGAAGAAGCACCGGCUAACUCCGUG